GAGUUUGAUCAUGGCCAGGAUGAACGCUGGCGGCGUGCUUAACACAUGCAAGUCGAACGGUGAAAGCGGAGCUUGCUCUGCUGGAUCAGUGGCGAACGGGUGAGUAACACGUGAGCAAUCUGCCCCUGACACUGGGAUAAGCGCUGGAAACGGCGUCUAAUACCGGAUACGAGCUGCGAAGGCAUCUUCAGCAGCUGGAAAGAAUUUCGGUCAGGGAUGAGCUCGCGGCCUAUCAGCUUGUUGGUGAGGUAACGGCUCACCAAGGCGUCGACGGGUAGCCGGCCUGAGAGGGUGACCGGCCACACUGGGACUGAGACACGGCCCAGACUCCUACGGGAGGCAGCAGUGGGGAAUAUUGCACAAUGGGCGAAAGCCUGAUGCAGCAACGCCGCGUGAGGGACGACGGCCUUCGGGUUGUAAACCUCUUUUAGCAGGGAAGAAGCGAAAGUGACGGUACCUGCAGAAAAAGCACCGGCGAACUACGUGCCAGCAGCGCGGUAA
rnacentral:rRNA from 1 species